UGAAACAUCGGUUUUCGUACGAUUACCGAAGUUAAGCAACGUCGAGCGUGGUCAGUGCCUAAAUGGGUGACCGCUUGGGACUAUCAGGUGCAGCAA